rnacentral:lncRNA from 1 species
CAGCAAUAUCAGCGAGUGGAAAAAGCGGCGUCUUCGUCGUCGCAAUGGAUGCUCAAACACAUAAUCUUGAAAGUUCCUUUCCUCCACGACAACACUAAAAAUAAGAGGCUGCCGCGAGAAGAGCUUAACCAUGUGGUGGCCGAGAUGUUAGGAACUGCAUCUCUUUGGGUUGGGUCAGAGUUUAGUCGUCUUUGAAGUUGUUUUCCUCGUCGUUGGCUUACCAUUGUUACUCCCCUCUCGUCUUGGUUUUCAAGAUAUGGUUUUUGGUGAUCUGACUUCUAUAGCUCGAGGACGGCUCCACGAUUUGAUGAUUUCGUUUUGUCUACCCUUCCAGCUAUGUUCUUUCAUCUCGUUGCAGCUUUCAACCCUGCUUGCGUCUCUGUGACCCUCUCUCUCUUUCGCCAUGUUUGCCACUCUAGGUUUGGAUAGUGUUCUCCUCCGAGUAUGCUCUGUAGAUUUGGAAGAUUGUUUCUGGUCUCAAGUAUGGACUCAUGUUUCUCGGGGGUUGGCUUCAUUUCUCCCUCAAUCAUGUUUCAUGAGGAAUUAAAAGGAAUAGCAUGAGACCCGUUUAUCAAUAAUUUAACCAAAAAUUGAAUCUAAUCGGUAUAAAAUUUGAGGAACCAAAAAUUCACCAUAAUUUGUUUCUAUAAUUUGGUAACCAAUUAGCCUUUUUUUUUUUUUUUUUGAUAACAACAAAGAGACUCAUGUAGGCUCUGAAUACCAAAAAGGUUGCUCCGCAUCCAAAUGGACAACGAAAGACAGCUGUCUCUUGGCACCCCGUGGUAGGCUAUCCCCCUUUUUAUUUUGCGUCCGCGAGAUAUGAAUGAUCUGUGAGCUGUGAAAACUAUCCUUCAAAAUCUUGAGAUCUUCCAUGUAAGCUUCAAAAGCUGGUCAUUCCCCUGGUUCCGAAACCAUCUUCACCAAUUGGGAAUAAUCCGUUGCAAAUGUGACCUGAAAUUGACGUAAGUUUCGCAUACAUUCCAUAGCCCAAAGUAGUGCUUCCAUCUCCGCGUGAAGGGGAGAGACAGAGGAACCAUAACAUUCUUGCACCCACCAAACCGUCAAAACCUUCUAAAGUGCUAUACCAACCUUGUCCGGCCAUUGGGUCACAUUCUUUCCAGGAUGUGAUAAAAAAACCUCCCAAGGAAUACACUCUGAAAUUGGUAAGGGAUAAGCCUUGCACCGAAUGAGCUAGAAAGCAACAAACGAUCAAGGGAUGUGAAUCAAAAGGUGACACAAGAGGGGCGAAAAGUCUCUUGAUACUACCCUAUAGUUUUUUUUGUCUAAACCAGGAUACAUCUCAUAUACCACAUACCCAACUGUAUGUACUACUAGGGGGGUGUCCGCGCUUCGCGCGGAAUAUUGUUUUAUUGUUGUUAAAAGUAUGAUUUUUUGGAUAAUGUAAUUAUGUGAUCACUUUUAUUUGUUAAGAAUGUUAUUUGGUGUUUUUAUUGUGUUAUGUAGUAGUAAUAGUGAUAUGUUAAUAUAUUUUGUCUUUGUUUUUUUAAUAAUGUGUGAUAAAAAAACCUCCCAAGGAAUACACUCUGAAAUUGGUAAGGGAUAAGCCUUGCACCGAAUGAGCUAGAAAGCAACAAACGAUCAAGGGAUGUGGAUCAAAAGGUGACACAAGAGGGGCGGAAAGUCUCUUGAUACUACCCUAUAAUGGCCGCCUCUAGAUAUGACACACUAGAUUAGACCAAGUUAGACUGAAGGAUAUUACACACCAACAAUCAUAAAAGUUUUGACCAAUGGAUAUGACAAACCAUGAUCGAAAACAGGUUUGAGAAUCACUCUCAAAGUUCCAAAAAUAUAAACUCAACUCUUAUUUUAUUUCAUGAAGAUUACAACUUAUUUAUAGGAUACUAAACUUGGUGAGAAAGCUAAAUACUUAUUACAUGGGAAAUGAUAAAAAUGAGUGCAUGGAGGAGAGAGAAUGUUCUUGAAACAAGCAUUCCUUGCAUGCAAGAGAGAGAAGCUUUCCAUGCAAUGAAAUACCAAAUUUUUGUAACUCCUCUUGGACAGCAAAUAAACCACUUGUUUAUGAAUCUUUUUGGGCUUGUAACUUGAUAAAAAUGGGUUGGACAUGCUAUCUAAUUAUAUCAUGGAUCAAAUUCUGAAUGUCUUUCAUGCCUAUAGCUUCAUAUACCAGCCCAUGAUCACAUCAUAUCUGUGAAAACUAUCCUUCAAAAUCUUGAGAUCUUCCAAGUAAGCUUCAAAAGCUGGCAAUUCCUCUGGUUCCGAAACCAUCUUCACCAAUUGAGAACAAUCCGUUGCAAAUGUGACCUGAAAUUGACGUAAGUUUCGCAUACAUUCCAUAGCCCAAAGUAGUGCUUCCAUCUCCGCGUGAAGGGGAGACAGAGGAGCCCUAACAUUCCUUGCACCCAUCAAACCGUCAAAACCUUCUAAAGUGCUAUACCAACCUUGUCCGGCCAUUGGGUCACAUUCUUUCCAGGAUGCAUCCACAAAACACCAUCGUCCUGGAAUUGAUGGUAAAUUCCCCACUUCUAUGUUUGGUACCACCUUUGUAUGCAGAGUUUGUGCCUCCGCCCAUAGAGUGGAUUCGACCUCUGCCAAAUUAAGAAUAUCCCUGGGGUCUAUAUCAAUAUUAGUAAAGAAUUUAUUAUUCCUGCCUUUCCAGAUAUACCAUAGAAUUUAUGCAAAUUGGUGAUCAUCCAUUUCCGGGAUAACUCUCGAAAAUAGGUUAUCCAUAUUUGUGAAAAGCGAGCUUGUUGGAAAGAUAGCCAGAUUUGAUGGUAUUUUGGAGAGCGCCCACACCUAAAUCGCUGGAGGACACUAAAAAACACAUGGUUUAUUGAUUCCUCGGGAUCUCCACAUCUCGCACAACACACAUCCCCUUUUAUUCCUCUCGCACUCAGAUUCUUUUUAACCGCUAUACACCCUGAAACCAGCUGCCACAAGAAAUGUUUUAACUUUGGUGGACAUCGUAUAGUCCAACAGAGCGCUUUCAAAACAUCCACUGUGGGGCCAAACACAGUCAAUGGUCUUUCCCUAUCUGGAUAAGCCCGUUCCACUUGGUAGCCUGAUUUAACCGUGUAUCUCCCAUUAUUUGUGAAAUGACAUCCAUCUUUAUCUGUGCCUUGAAUCCUACUCAAAGGUAUACUUUCAAUUAUUUUCACAUCCUCAACUAAAACCUGCAGCAAACCCCCCUGCCACUUGUCGGAAGAAGGGAAAAAGUCUAAAGAUAUGUGUACGUAACUGUGUCUAUGUGUCUAUCAUUUUUUUAUUUGUUUCUGGGGUCAGAUAUCUCUAACUUUAUUGGGUUUUAUAAGACAUUAACAAGGGAAACACAUGGUGGCUACUUGGCUAGCAAUUAACAUCAAUUAUUAAAAAGAACUGUGAAACAUCUCAUUCGCCUCCUUUAUUACACCAAACCACUUUCUUUUACUUACCGGUCAGGUCGACAAUUCUACCAUUCCCCUUCUUCUUUUUAUUUCUCUUUUCAUUUAAAUAAAAUUAAAGAUGCUACUUUUUAUUAUGGUUGAUAAACACUAGAAUAUUGCAAAUUUUCAAAUAAGAGAAAGGAAUGAGAAAGAUAGAAAACCCGCAAGCAUAGUAACACAAGUCAAAGCAACGUCUGUUUUCUCUUGUUUGUCAGUUAGCUAUUUUCUCUACUGAAAUAUGAUAUGCUUUUUUCCAGUAAAAUAUUAUAACAUAUUAAGAAAUAUGCAUUCUGUAUUCUGAUUUUCCUAUCAGGGGAUGACACGAUUAUAAGACCAUUAGUUUUUUUAUUUCAUCUGUAUUCUACUUUAACCUGGUCCCACCCUUUUGAUGAGUCCUUUGCUUACCAGAGAUCUAGCUGAAAUAAUACUCCGCCAACCAUAUGAUGGGGAAUAUGAGCGAAUCGGCUCCAGGGGUGAUGCAUUCCUGUAAUACCGACCUUUAAAAACGCGUGCAAAUAAAGUGUUUGGCUUGUCUAUCAAGCACCAUAACUGCUUGCCGAGCAUUGCCGUGUUAAAAUAUGUUAUGUCCUUAAAACCCAAUCCUCCCUCCUCCUUGCUGACACAAAUUUUAUCCCAUGAUUUCCAAUGCAUACCUUUUGUACUUCCCCAUGGACUCCACCAAAACUGAGCUACUGCAGCGGUUAAUUUCUUCGCGGUUGCCUUUGGUAAUCGGUAACAGGACAUAACAUGAUUUGGUAGUGCCAUAACUACUGAUAUGAUGAUUACCUCCUUCCCUCCUUUUGAAAAGAAUUUGAAAGUCCACCCAUUUAUCCUAUUUGCCAGUCGUUCCUGUACAAAGCUGAAAACCUGUAUCUUUGAUCCGCCAAUAUUCUCUGGUAGACCCAUAUAAGAUCCCAUUCCUCCUAGGUUUUGUAUACCCAAAAUGUCUCUCAUCUCUUGUCUCUUAGAUUCCUCAAUCUUGUGUCCAAAUUGGAUCGAAGAUUUUUGGAAAUUAAUAAGUUGGCCAGAAACCUCCUCAUACUCCUUUAGAAUCCGUAGUAUUGUUUGACACUCCUCUAUUUGUGUCUUGCAGAAGAAAAAACUAUCAUCUGCAAAAAACAGAUGAGAGAUCGGGGGGCAUGCUCUUGCCACUUUCAUACCCGUUAUUUGUUUCUCUCUCUGCCUUUUUGAUAUUUGAUAUUAAUGCCUCAGUACACAUAAUAAAAAGAUAUGGGGAUAAUGGAUCCCCUUGCCUUAAACCUCUGUUUGGAAUUAUGAGCCCCGUCGGUUGACCAUUAAGUAGAACCCGAUAUUGCACCGACGAUAUGCACUCCCUCAUUAGUUUAAUCCAAUGGGAGUCAAAACCCAUUUUUUGCAGUAAAGCAUAGAUAAAACUCCAUUCCACUCUAUCAUACGCCUUACUCAUGUUCGUUUUGAUUGCCAUAUAUUUUCCUUUGCAUGCCUUAUUGGUACGCAACCCAUGAAACAUCUCCUAUGCUAUUAGAAUAUUAUCAGAAAUUAACCUUCCUGCCACAAAUGCCGAUUGAGUUUCCGAAAUAGGAGAGAGAAGACAAGAUUUCAAGCGUUGGCACAAAACCUUUGAGAUAAUCUUGUAUCCUACAUUGCAUAAACUUAUUGGUCUUAGCUCCGUCAUCCUCGUGGGUCUCUCCGUUUUUGGAAUCAUACAUAUAUUCUUUAUAUUUAACCUUGGGUCCAGUUCCCCUGUAGCGUCGUCUAUGCUACAUUAUCAGUUUUACAUAAUAUUGUCUAUGUUACUAUAUGGUGUGAAUUUAAGUCGAAUUAAUAAAUAAAAAAACAAAAAUUAGUAACUAAAAUUAAACCAAAAUACCCACUUAGAUUAUUGUUCUAUUAAUAGUGUGAGUUAAUAAGUAAUAAUCCUUAUUUGUAUUUAUAUAUACUAGUGCCGAUUCAAGCUACGCGGGAUGUCUAUAUUUCUGUAUGAAAAAUUGUAUUUUGUUAUGUUGGGUUUGUGGUUUUAAAUAUAUGAUUGUUUAUGCAUAUGUCAUUUGGAAUUUUUAUUUUAUUUGUGUCUUUUAACUAAUUAAUAAUAUAGAUUACUGAAGUCUAAGAAAAUACAUUUACACGAUAUUAGUUUCUUCUGAAAUGAUUCUAAUAUAUUAGAGUUUUAAAUUUGUUUAGUGUUUUUUCUUCUUGUUAUGACAUUUUUUUUUUGAAAAAUAAUGAGAUAAAUCGAUAUAUCUUACCAUCAAAUUGGAGUAUUAAAUAGUGUAUGAUAUAUUCAAGUAUUAAGACUUUUAGUAAAAAAAGAGACUUGGUUUUACUUAAGAGUUUGGCUGGUUAAAUAUAUUAUAUAUGAUUUUCAGUACAUAUUCUUUUAUUGUAACAUAUUUUAAGUAAAUCAUUUAGAUAAUUUUUGAUCAAUUAUUUUUUUCAUUAAACUUGAUAUUGAUUCAUUUGUGUCAAAUUAAGUUAGAAGCUUCUAGAAACUAUGUUGUGAACAAAAGCUUAAAAAAUUUGAUAUCCAAGUAGGUAAUAGAAUUAGCUUAAACUCCAAAACAUAAUUACUGCAGCUUCCUCACUUUUUACGGCGCACACAUUGUGGUAACUGAGAGCUUGUAUUGGAGUUGGAUCAGAGAAGCCUUAAUUGGGAUGCUCUUUAGAAAAAAAAGGGACACAUAAGAAAGCAAUUCGUCAGGUUUACGGAGCCACAUAAAGUAUCAUUCUCCGACAGCAUAAGGACAAAUUCGUUUCUGUCUAGACACAGCGGUGAAUUAUAUGAAUCAAAAUUCAGCAACAUCUAAAGAUUCUUCCAUGAGCUUUCGGUGAACCAAAGCCUUUUCUAAAAAAAACAUUAUCCACUAAAACAUGCACUCCAAAUUAUUAGGAAAAAUCCCAACAAGUGACACAGUAUAUGACAUCAGCUCCUCUAAGAGAAAAUAUCGUACCUCGAACAAAAGAGAGUGUACAUGACAAAAAUUAUGAUUCUACACAGUUUAUACCUGCUAGUAAUUGUUUUUUUUUAACAACUCCUGCCAAUAAAUUUUAAUAUCUGAAUUUACUAACUCUCAUAAGAUAAAUAUGGCUAGCAGAUUUUUAAAAACUUCAAUGAUAGAAAAAAAUAGUUCCCACCAUUAAUCACUAAAUCAAACAGAAAAAGAAACAAAAAGAAGUAUGAGAAUAUAAUUUUUUUUUUUUUUGAAUGGAUGUUAAAUUAACUCAAAAGAAAAUACACUGUUUUUGCAACUUGUGCUACAUUUUUAGGAAUAACUUCAAAAUUUUAUAAAAUUUUAGACUAUAUGCUAUCUGGUAGAAACCACACCCCUAAGGCUGCAGCAAAUGUGAAAUUCCGAACCUGCCGGAACGAGAGACAUUUGUUUCGGACUUGCCUAUGAAGUAUGCCGACCAUAACAGAGACUGUAGUUGGAGUAGCUCCAUGUCUUCUGUCAUUUCUUUCUCGCCAUAAAGAAUGUAUCGAGAGUUGGAAGACAUAGCGGGUUAAGAACUUGGAGAGAAAAUUCUGACUGUUAUCCUUGAUGAUCUCUAUUAGCUCUGUCCAGUCAGUUGUGAAACUCCCACGAAGAAGAUUUUUGGUUAACCGAGACCAUACCUCAGCGGCGAAUGGACAGGAGAAGAAUAAAUGAUUCCUAGUUUCCAGCUGGUUGCAGAACACACACGCUGGGUUUACACUAGAAGACGGUUUUGAAUAGCUAACCAAGUAAAGAAAGCAAAUUUUGGAGUGUGGUGUUUGAACCAUAAGCUCUUUUGCUAAUCGACAAUUGGAGCUUGCUGAUGAAGUAAACUCCAAUUGUUUUUUGUACUGAAUACUGGUUUAUACUCAUACGGAGAACUCUUCCAGAUAGCACAAUCCUCUUCAUUGGAUAGCUUGGCUCUCUGUUCUACCAUAGCAGCUUCAAUGAUGUUCAGAAUAUCUUGUAGAUGGUCUCUACUUCGUCUUCUCGAAAGCAAAGCUAAGGAGACCGUUGCAGUCGCUCUAAUUCCUAAGUCAAUGCACCCACGGACUCCAGUGAUAUCAUACAGACAUCCCAGUGGAGACCAAGAAUCAAACCAGUGAUAAAAAAACCUCCCAAGGAAUACACUCUGAAAUUGGUAAGGGAUAAGCCUUGCACCGAAUGAGCUAGAAAGCAACAAACGAUCAAGGGAUGUGGAUCAAAAGGUGACACAAGAGGGGCGGAAAGUCUCUUGAUACUACCCUAUAAUGGCCGCCUCUAGAUAUGACACACUAGAUUAGACCAAGUUAGACUGAAGGAUAUUACACACCAACAAUCAUAAAAGUUUUGACCAAUGGAUAUGACACACCAUGAUCGAAAACAGGUUUGAGAAUCACUCUCAAAGUUCCAAAAAUAUAAACUCAACUCUUAUUUUAUUUCAUGAAGAUUACAACUUAUUUAUAGGAUACUAAACUUGGUGAGAAAACUAAAUACUUAUUACAUGGGAAAUGAUAAAAUGAGUGCAUGGAGGAGAGAGAAUGUUCUUGAAACAAGCAUUCCUUGCAAGCAAGAGAGAGAAGCUUUCCAUGCAAUGAAACACCAAAUUUUCGUAAUUCCUCUUGGACAGCAAAUAAACCACUUGUUUAUGAAUCUUUUUGGGUUUGUAACUUGAUAAAAAUGGGUUGGACAUGCUAUCUAACAUCAUGGAUCAAAUUCUGAAUGUCUUUCAUGCCUAUAGCUUCAUAUACCAGUCCAUGAUCACAUCAUACUCCUCCUCUUCAAAAAGAUUUGUCCUCAAAUCAUGCUCUCCAAAGAAAGAAAAACUUGAAUAUACACUUCCCAAACAAUCUAGCAGAUUUGUAGAACAUAAAUAACAAAACUUUUUUUUUCUUUUUUUUUAGAAGAUGGAUAGAUGAGAAUGGUGGAUAACAGAGGUGAAUAUCGCUUUCAGAGUGGCUCUGAUACCAAAUGAUAAAAAAACCUCCCAAGGAAUACACUCUGAAAUUGGUAAGGGAUAAGCCUUGCACCGAAUGAGCUAGAAAGCAACAAACGAUCAAGGGAUGUGGAUCAAAAGGUGACACAAGAGGGGCGGAAAGUCUCUUGAUACUACCCUAUAAUGGCCGCCUCUAGAUAUGACACACUAGAUUAGACCAAGUUAGACUGAAGGAUAUUACACACCAACAAUCAUAAAAGUUUUGACCAAUGGAUAUGACACACCAUGAUCGAAAACAGGUUUGAGAAUCACUCUCAAAGUUCCAAAAAUAUAAACUCAACUCUUAUUUUAUUUCAUGAAGAUUACAACUUAUUUAUAGGAUACUAAACUUGGUGAGAAAGCUAAAUACUUAUUACAUGGGAAAUGAUAAAAUGAGUGCAUGGAGGAGAGAGAAUGUUCUUGAAACAAGCAUUCCUUGCAUGCAAGAGAGAGAAGCUUUCCAUGCAAUGAAACACCAAAUUUUCGUAACUCCUCUUGGACAGCAAAUAAACCACUUGUUUAUGAAUCUUUUUGGGCUUGUAACUUGAUAAAAAUUGGUUGGACAUGCUAUCUAACAUCAUGGAUCAAAUUCUGAAUGUCUUUCAUGCCUAUAGCUUCAUAUACCAGCCCAUGAUCNNNNNNNNNNNNNNNNNNCUUUCCCUAUCUGGAUAAGCCCGUUCCACCUGGUAGCCCGAUUUAACCGUGUAUCUCUCAUUAUUUGUGAAAUGCUAUCCAUCUUUAUAUGUACCCUGAAUCCGUCUCAAAGGUAUACUUUCAAUUAUUUUCACAUCUUGGGGAUCAACUAAAACCCGAAGAGCCUGUGAGUUCCAAGUUCGCGAAGUAGGAUCUAUUAAAGAGUCCACUGUAAGGUUUGGAUAGUUAUCGUGCAGAUUUUUAGUUGCUGGUCUCGGGCGGGUGGUUGGGAGCCAAGGAUCAUUCCAUACAGAGAUGGAUGAACCUGGUCCCACCCUUUUGAUGAGUCCUUUGCUUACCAGAGAUCUAGCUGAAAUAAUACUCCGCCAACCAUAUGAUGGGGAAUAUGAGCGAAUCGGCUCCAGGGGUGAUGCAUUCCUGUAAUACCGACCUUUAAAAACGCGUGCAAAUAAAGUGUUUGGCUUGUCUAUCAAGCACCAUAACUGCUUGCCGAGCAUUGCCGUGUUAAAAUAUGUUAUGUCCUUAAAACCCAAUCCUCCCUCCUCCUUGCUGACACAAAUUUUAUCCCAUGAUUUCCAAUGCAUACCUUUUGUACUUCCCCAUGGACUCCACCAAAACUGAGCUACUGCAGCGGUUAAUUUCUUCGCGGUUGCCUUUGGUAAUCGGUAACAGGACAUAACAUGAUUUGGUAGUGCCAUAACUACUGAUAUGAUGAUUACCUCCUUCCCUCCUUUUGAAAAGAAUUUGAAAGUCCACCCAUUUAUCCUAUUUGCCAGUCGUUCCUGUACAAAGCUGAAAACCUGUAUCUUUGAUCCGCCAAUAUUCUCUGGUAGACCCAUAUAAGAUCCCAUUCCUCCUAGGUUUUGUAUACCCAAAAUGUCUCUCAUCUCUUGUCUCUUAGAUUCCUCAAUCUUGUGUCCAAAUUGGAUCGAAGAUUUUUGGAAAUUAAUAAGUUGGCCAGAAACCUCCUCAUACUCCUUUAGAAUCCGUAGUAUUGUUUGACACUCCUCUAUUUGUGUCUUGCAGAAGAAAAAACUAUCAUCUGCAAAAAACAGAUGAGAGAUCGGGGGGCAUGCUCUUGCCACUUUCAUACCCGUUAUUUGUUUCUCUCUCUGCCUUUUUGAUAUUUGAUAUUAAUGCCUCAGUACACAUAAUAAAAAGAUAUGGGGAUAAUGGAUCCCCUUGCCUUAAACCUCUGUUUGGAAUUAUGAGCCCCGUCGGUUGACCAUUAAGUAGAACCCGAUAUUGCACCGACGAUAUGCACUCCCUCAUUAGUUUAAUCCAAUGGGAGUCAAAACCCAUUUUUUGCAGUAAAGCAUAGAUAAAACUCCAUUCCACUCUAUCAUACGCCUUACUCAUGUUCGUUUUGAUUGCCAUAUAUUUUCCUUUGCAUGCCUUAUUGGUACGCAACCCAUGAAACAUCUCCUAUGCUAUUAGAAUAUUAUCAGAAAUUAACCUUCCUGCCACAAAUGCCGAUUGAGUUUCCGAAAUAGGAGAGAGAAGACAAGAUUUCAAGCGUUGGCACAAAACCUUUGAGAUAAUCUUGUAUCCUACAUUGCAUAAACUUAUUGGUCUUAGCUCCGUCAUCCUCGUGGGUCUCUCCGUUUUUGGAAUCAUACAUAUAUUCUUUAUAUUUAACCUUGGGUCCAGUUCCCCUGUAGCGUCGUCUAUGCUACAUUAUCAGUUUUACAUAAUAUUGUCUAUGUUACUAUAUGGUGUGAAUUUAAGUCGAAUUAAUAAAUAAAAAAACAAAAAUUAGUAACUAAAAUUAAACCAAAAUACCCACUUAGAUUAUUGUUCUAUUAAUAGUGUGAGUUAAUAAGUAAUAAUCCUUAUUUGUAUUUAUAUAUACUAGUGCCGAUUCAAGCUACGCGGGAUGUCUAUAUUUCUGUAUGAAAAAUUGUAUUUUGUUAUGUUGGGUUUGUGGUUUUAAAUAUAUGAUUGUUUAUGCAUAUGUCAUUUGGAAUUUUUAUUUUAUUUGUGUCUUUUAACUAAUUAAUAAUAUAGAUUACUGAAGUCUAAGAAAAUACAUUUACACGAUAUUAGUUUCUUCUGAAAUGAUUCUAAUAUAUUAGAGUUUUAAAUUUGUUUAGUGUUUUUUCUUCUUGUUAUGACAUUUUUUUUUUGAAAAAUAAUGAGAUAAAUCGAUAUAUCUUACCAUCAAAUUGGAGUAUUAAAUAGUGUAUGAUAUAUUCAAGUAUUAAGACUUUUAGUAAAAAAAGAGACUUGGUUUUACUUAAGAGUUUGGCUGGUUAAAUAUAUUAUAUAUGAUUUUCAGUACAUAUUCUUUUAUUGUAACAUAUUUUAAGUAAAUCAUUUAGAUAAUUUUUGAUCAAUUAUUUUUUUCAUUAAACUUGAUAUUGAUUCAUUUGUGUCAAAUUAAGUUAGAAGCUUCUAGAAACUAUGUUGUGAACAAAAGCUUAAAAAAUUUGAUAUCCAAGUAGGUAAUAGAAUUAGCUUAAACUCCAAAACAUAAUUACUGCAGCUUCCUCACUUUUUACGGCGCACACAUUGUGGUAACUGAGAGCUUGUAUUGGAGUUGGAUCAGAGAAGCCUUAAUUGGGAUGCUCUUUAGAAAAAAAAGGGACACAUAAGAAAGCAAUUCGUCAGGUUUACGGAGCCACAUAAAGUAUCAUUCUCCGACAGCAUAAGGACAAAUUCGUUUCUGUCUAGACACAGCGGUGAAUUAUAUGAAUCAAAAUUCAGCAACAUCUAAAGAUUCUUCCAUGAGCUUUCGGUGAACCAAAGCCUUUUCUAAAAAAAACAUUAUCCACUAAAACAUGCACUCCAAAUUAUUAGGAAAAAUCCCAACAAGUGACACAGUAUAUGACAUCAGCUCCUCUAAGAGAAAAUAUCGUACCUCGAACAAAAGAGAGUGUACAUGACAAAAAUUAUGAUUCUACACAGUUUAUACCUGCUAGUAAUUGUUUUUUUUUAACAACUCCUGCCAAUAAAUUUUAAUAUCUGAAUUUACUAACUCUCAUAAGAUAAAUAUGGCUAGCAGAUUUUUAAAAACUUCAAUGAUAGAAAAAAAUAGUUCCCACCAUUAAUCACUAAAUCAAACAGAAAAAGAAACAAAAAGAAGUAUGAGAAUAUAAUUUUUUUUUUUUUUGAAUGGAUGUUAAAUUAACUCAAAAGAAAAUACACUGUUUUUGCAACUUGUGCUACAUUUUUAGGAAUAACUUCAAAAUUUUAUAAAAUUUUAGACUAUAUGCUAUCUGGUAGAAACCACACCCCUAAGGCUGCAGCAAAUGUGAAAUUCCGAACCUGCCGGAACGAGAGACAUUUGUUUCGGACUUGCCUAUGAAGUAUGCCGACCAUAACAGAGACUGUAGUUGGAGUAGCUCCAUGUCUUCUGUCAUUUCUUUCUCGCCAUAAAGAAUGUAUCGAGAGUUGGAAGACAUAGCGGGUUAAGAACUUGGAGAGAAAAUUCUGACUGUUAUCCUUGAUGAUCUCUAUUAGCUCUGUCCAGUCAGUUGUGAAACUCCCACGAAGAAGAUUUUUGGUUAACCGAGACCAUACCUCAGCGGCGAAUGGACAGGAGAAGAAUAAAUGAUUCCUAGUUUCCAGCUGGUUGCAGAACACACACGCUGGGUUUACACUAGAAGACGGUUUUGAAUAGCUAACCAAGUAAAGAAAGCAAAUUUUGGAGUGUGGUGUUUGAACCAUAAGCUCUUUUGCUAAUCGACAAUUGGAGCUUGCUGAUGAAGUAAACUCCAAUUGUUUUUUGUACUGAAUACUGGUUUAUACUCAUACGGAGAACUCUUCCAGAUAGCACAAUCCUCUUCAUUGGAUAGCUUGGCUCUCUGUUCUACCAUAGCAGCUUCAAUGAUGUUCAGAAUAUCUUGUAGAUGGUCUCUACUUCGUCUUCUCGAAAGCAAAGCUAAGGAGACCGUUGCAGUCGCUCUAAUUCCUAAGUCAAUGCACCCACGGACUCCAGUGAUAUCAUACAGACAUCCCAGUGGAGACCAAGAAUCAAACCAGAAAGAGGUUCGGUUUCCAUUUCCCACCUUCAUUUUAUGGAAUUGUUUUGCAAGGUCUCUAUACUUCAGAAGCUUUCUCCACACCCAUGAUCCUGCAGUUGUUGUAUCCUUGAUAGACCAUAUGAUGUCACUCUUAACCAAGUACGUUUGGAUCCAUUUGGCCCAAAGAGAAGGUUGAGAGGACGUGAGCUUCCAUAGCAGUUUCAGAGUAAGGACUUUGUUCAUCGCCUUCAGUGAUCUGAGACCCAGACCUCCUUCUUUCUUAGGGAGGCAGACCACAUCCCAGGAAACUUUUGCUUUCUUCACAUUAAGAGAAGGACCAGACCAAAGGAAAGCAGAGCAGAGGCUGUUGAUUUCCUUAAUAAACUGCCCCGAGAGCGUGAAACCAGUCAUCCAGAAAUUGACUAUGCUUAGCAAAACUGACUUUAUCAACUGCAGCCGACCAGCCAUAGACAGGAAGCGGUUAGUCCAUAAGCUAAUACACAUCUUUAUCUUCUUGAUAAGCACCUGAUAAUCCUCUUUUCGCAUCUGACGUGUGAGAAGAGGCAAGCCUAGAUAAUGCACCGGCAAUGUACCAGAAGCAAACUGAAAUGUAUUAAGCAGUUCUUGACGAUUCUCAUCCGUCAUACCAGCAUAAUAGAUUGUCGAUUUCUCCAUGCUUAUCUUCAAACCUGAUACUUUUUCAAAAUAGUUAAAGACUUCCACAAUACUCUUGAUUGAUCGUACUCUUCCGUCCGUAAAUACCAUUAGAUCAUCAGCGAAACUGAGAUGAGUAAGCCCCAGAUUCUUACAUUUUGGAUGGUAUCCAAACUGGUUUUCUUUUGCAGACUUAUCCAGUAGUUUGGACAACACGUUCAUGCAUAUGACAAAGAGAUAUGGAGAAAGAGCACAACCUUGUCGCAAACCUCUUUCGCUCUGGAAAUAUCCAGCCAACUCGCCAUUUACUUGUACAGAGAAAGACGCUGUGGUAAUGCAAAGGGAUAUCCAAUGAAUGAACUUAGGAGGAAAGUUCAUGGCCUCAAGCGUCUUAAGUAAGAAGCUCCACUGAACCGAGUCGAAAGCCUUUGAGAUGUCUAUUUUCAACGCACAUCGUUUUGAUAUUGAGUCUUUGUGGUAGUCCUUUACCAGCUCAGUUGCAAGAAGGAGGUUUUCAAUGAGGAGUCUACCUUCACAAAAGCAGAUUGGUUCAGUUCGAUAAAGUCUGGCAGCGUGUUCUUCAAUCUGUUCGCUAUAAGCUUCGAAAUGACUUUAUAAAUAACGUUACAGCAUGAGAUCGGGCGGUAAUCCUUCAUCUCUCUGGCCCCUGUCUUCUUUGGUAGUAAAUCCAAAAUCGUGGUGUUGACUCCCUUUGGCAAGAAACCUUUUUCAAAGAAAGAUUGAAUCGAAAUGAUGAACUCCUUUCCAAUAACUGGCCAGGCUGUUUUGAAGAAUUCCACUGUGUAACCGUCUGGUCCCGGUGACUUAUCGCUCGGCAUCGCAAAUAGCACUUUAGUUAUCUCCUCUGCUGUGAUUUCCUUCAGUAGCAUCUCAUGUACUGUAUCAGAGCAACGAUAAGGUAGCAAGUCGCGCAGCUUAUCAAUCUCUAUGCUCUCAAAAUCUGGUGGCUUAUGUUGUAAAAAUUCCCUGAAGAAACUCUCAGCUUCCUCUUUGAUCUCCUCUUGUUUAUGAACCACUCUCCCAUCGCGACAUAGCACCUCAUAAAUCGAGUUCUGAUUAUUUCUUGCAGUAGCUGCUCUGUGAAAGACUUUAUUACUCCUAUCACCAACAUUGAGCCAAUGCAGUUUUGACUUCUGUUUCAAAAAUUUCUCCUCAAGACCUGAAACUUUAUCCCAUCUUUCAUAGGCAACAUUCUCAAUCUCCAAAUUGACCUGUGAUGGGUCACGCAUACUAAGUUCUUGUUUUUGACAAAGAUCUGCGUAAGCUUCAUUCGUUUUCUUUGUCAAGUUCCCCAUGCUAUCCUUUGCUAAAGACCUGAUCUCUGGUUUCAGUGCCUUCAGCUUUUUUGAAAAUCUGUAUAGAGAUGAAGUCGACGAGAAAAUGGGAACAGAGUUGUUCCAAAACUGCGACAUCAUCGGUAGAAAGUUUUCUAACUCAGGAACUGCAUUGACAAAUUUGAAAGGUCUCUUAGGCCGACAAGUUUCAGAACUCAUAUUAAUCCGACAGCGCAAAUGGUCAGAGCAUCCUCCUCCCUUAAACACAUUAUAUGAUUGUGGGAAAACACUGAGCCAAGAAUCAUUAAACAAUAUUCGAUCAAGCUUCUUAGAUAUAAUCCUUUCACCUUGCUUGUUACUCCAAGUGUAAAGCGGACCAUGAGAAGGAAGAUCAAGCAGAGAACAGUGUUGGGUGACACUUUGAAAUGAACGCAUUCCUUGCGUUAUGAACGGGUUCGUUUCAUGAUCUGAAUGCUCCUCAACAUCCAAGGUUUCAUUGAAAUCUCCCAGCACUAGCCACACCUUGUUCCUAAAGCUUGGCGAAUUUUGAUGAUUAUUUAAGUCCUCCCAGAGUACAUUCCUUUCAGCUUCUGUGUUCUUUGCAUAAAUUACAGAAAGAAAAAAUUCAUCCCCGCCACUAAGAACCAUAGAGACCGUGAUCAGUUGAUCACUUUUAAAUACUGGAGUUACUCUCACAUCAGAUCGCCACACCAACCAUAUUCGACCCAAGUGAUUGUACUCGUAGUUUGUUAACACAGACCAGUCACCGAAGACAGAAGUAGUUAUCCUCUGACUCCUUACCUCUUUAACCCUUGUUUCCAACAGAGCACCAAACUGAAAACCUUGCUCUCUAAUCCACUUUUUUACAACAGAAUGUUUUUCCUUUUUAUUAAAACUUCGGACAUUCCAAAAGAAACCCGACAUAAUUAAUGUUUUUUAUGAUUUUUCCUUUUCCCUCCAACACUUGGAACUGUGUCCUUUGUGCUAAGAGUGCUCUUUCCAGAAAUGUUUCUGUUAACUCCACGAGAUGGUUUGUGAACAGCUGAGCGAAGAAGUCUUUCUCUUGUUUCAGCUUUAUCAUUUCCCCUUAUCUCCUUUGAAUUUACUUCAUCUUCUUCUAUAGGAUCAGUUCCUUCCUCAGGCCGGAAUUCACCCUCCUCCGUAUCCUUCUCGAUAGCAUUGCUAUCAUUACCUUCACCCAUAUCCACUUGACCCUCCUCCACAUCUAGUACUGCAAAACGAGAUGGUGAACUAAUCUUCGGAUCAGGGACAUGGUCCUUGCCUCCUGAUCUGCACAUCUUCGAAGGAGAGACAUUUUUCCAUCCCAAAUCCUCUGUUUCACCACCCUUCUCAUGGUGCUCUGUUGUUACGUUCAGAACUGUAUUCCUCGUGGUCUCUACUGAUGCCAAAUUUUCAGAGAGAAGUUCCAUAUCUUUAGUUGUAUCUACUACUUGAACGCUUGCUCCAGUAAUAUCCAAAGCAUUUUGUUGAUCCUUCUGCGAUGCGUCUACCAGAGAAGUCUCAAUCUCAUUUGCCAUAGUCUUUGUGGGUGACUUGGCCUUAGUCAAAAUUUUUACCUUAGCACGACAAGUUGUAUGAAGGUGCCCCCAUUUGGAACAGAUGGUGCAUCUGUCCGGCAACCUUGGGUAAACAAAUUCGACCUCCGCAUCUACCCCAACUUUAGACUUGAAACGAUGGCUAGUCGGCAGUUCUUUUGUCAUAUUAGCUUCGACAAAAACUUUCGCUUCCUCAAAGCUUUUACAUUGGAGCGUAUCUGGGUGUAAGCGCUUUGUUUUUCCUACAGCACUAGCUAUCAAACCAAGGCCUUUCCAAGAGAACAUCAUGUGGGGAACAUUCUUCAUGGUGAUCCACAUUGGAAUAGUUUUUAUCUCUUCGACCUCUUCUUCCUCCUCCUAAGGGGAUCACUUUGAAAGAACUAAUGGGAUGUUUGCAAUAUUCCACAUGCCCCUUUUCAAAACCCUUUUCCUUGUAGCCUCGUCUUUGAUUCUGAAUUUCACAGUGCGAUCAUUGACAACGUAGACGUCAAUUUUGAUAGAUUUAUCUCCCAAAGGCCAGAUCUUAUUGACUAUGAAAUGGAUUCUUGCUACAUGUGGUGCCUUGUCCAGAAAUCGACCUUCAACAAGAUCAUCCCAAAGAGGCACAGAUUCUGAUAUCACAUCAUCCGGUACUUCAACAACUUUUUGUCCUUCACAUACUCCUAUUUCUUGAACUUGCUCAGAGAGCGAUGGUCCAUUCUCUACGACUUUAACCCAUGACAGGUUCAACAGCUUCACAGGUUCUACCUUGCUCGUUUCCGAGCCCGACUCCACGGCGACUUGAGUCUCCGGUGCCGACAUCGGCGUGGGGACUGAUUUCUUGCGGCGAACUCUUAAAAACCCUAAUCUCAUCACAAAUCGCCCUAUGCUGAUGUGUCCCUAUCUUUAAAGAGCUUCUAUGAGAAUAUAAUAUAGCACACUCUUUUUUCUUCUCCUCCCUCUUCUUGUUAGUGUUUUCUUUGAUCUUUAAGUGCAUCCCCCAUCUGACAAUGAAUCAUCUCUUUAGUGGGUAUAUAAUUCUGUAAAUACGCAGAUGCAUGUACCUGUUAUACACCACCACCAAUGAAUAUUAGUGUAAACUCACAAAACCCAAGAAACUACAAACGUUGUCAAUACAAAAGCAUUUUACUUUCUGUUCUCUUCUAUUAAUUAACACAAAAACGCUUAGCGUCGGUAUGAAAAUCCAUUUAGUUCCCCACUCGUGAAACAGCUGAACUAAAUCAUAUUCAACCCAAUGAAGUCACAAUCACAAACCAAACAUCUAAAAACAUGAACUUGAGCAAAAUCGAUGCAUAAUCUUUACAAAAGAGGGAUUUCGAGGUGUUACAUCUACAUGGCCAGAAUCACCUCUCCAUUGGAGCUUUGGAUCACUUUCUUUUUCUUCUUUCGCAAUUCGUGGCUUUAUUCAAUUUUCCGGAGAACAUGGAUGGACCUAUGAGCAGAAGAUCCAACCCAAGAGUGACUAUUGCAAAAUUCAAAUCAGAUUCGCAAUAAUAGAACAAACAGAGAGACCUGAAAAUGAAAAACAUUAUAUAUUAAAAUAUAUAUAGAUACACACAUGGACAUGAUGAAUCUAAUGGAGGAAGGCGGAAAUUAUUCUUAGACAGUAUCAACACUUCUCAUGUACACCACAGUUACGUAAUGCAGAAGAUAAAUCAAGAGACAAAAUAGAUACAAUCAACCAACUAUUGCUUUAUUAGAAAUCGCCUCAACAAUCUAUUACAAGACUUGCUUAUCUGUUAAUCUAUUUAAUAUAUAACGUUUCUAAAAAAUCUUAUAAAUUAUAUAGAUAUUAAUAAAUAAAUUUUAACUGUAAAUUCAAAUUUUAUUUACAAAAUAUGUUGGAAAAAAUCUAGCAAAAUCUUAAUAAAAUUUUAAAUAAUCUAUCCAAACUUGUCUCUCUGUCGUCAGUACUUCAGCAACUGUCAGCACGACCCAAGAACACCCCUAAGGAAUUUUCACCAUUCCUCUAUAAUAAUAGCCAGUGUCUUAUAGAAUACACACGACUCCAUAACCCUUUUAUAGUGAUCUCCACGUUCCUGAAAUCCUAGCUUCCAAGGAACAUGGAUAUGGACAACUUCCAUAUCAAUAAGUACACUUUCCUUUUCUUAAUGCACUUAUUCCUCAAGGCAUAAACUUGCUCCCCAAGUUUAUUUCUUGUCUUUUCUCCACGGUAUAAACUUGCUCCUCAAUUUUAUCUCACGCCAGCUCAGCAUCUUGCGUCCACAUGGUCUCUACCACUCCGCAUGCCUCUUGGUUCACUCUCUAACAUACACUGACUCAACAACUACUUCAAUGACUACGUCAAGACAUAAACCCUCAGUUUAUCCUUCUCCAUCUCAGCAUAUCUUGCAUCCAUAUGGUAACCCACCACUCUGCAUGCCUUAUAUUGUAACGACUAUUGCAUCCAGCAUCAGUGACUUCGUCGCCUAGUUAGUUACGGAAGACUGUUGACAUCUACAGGCUCCACUUGCAUCUUCACAACCCACCGGUCUUCUUUCAGAUUCAGUUUCCACAUCUUCUUACCGUUUAUCUCGUGGAGAGUUGAGAAUGUCAAAGAGCAUCAGCAAUAUCAGCGAGUGGAGAAAGCGGCGUCUUCGUCGUCGCAAUGGAUGCUCAAACACAUAAUCUUGAAAGUUCCUUUCGUCCACGACAACACUAAAAAUAAGAGGCUGUCACGAGAAGAGCUUAACCAUGUGGUGGCCAUGCGACGCAGAAGAGAGAAGCUAAAUGAGAGAUUCAUAACGUUGAGAUCAUUGGUUCCAUUUGUGACCAAGAUGGAUAAAGUCUCGAUCCUUGGAGACACCAUUGAGUACGUAAACCAUCUUUCUAAGAGGAUCCAUGAGCUGGAAUCUACUCAUCACGAGCCAAACCAAAAGCGGAUGCGUAUCGGUAAGGGACGAACUUGGGAAGAGGUGGAGGUUUCCAUUAUAGAGAGCGAUGUUUUGUUAGA